ensembl:processed_transcript Gas5 growth arrest specific 5
GUACAAAUGAUGGUUUGAAUAAAGGUAUAACGCACGGGUCGCCUCAAGUGAAGGCACUGCAAACAAAAUGAUUGGUCAUUCUGAAUUUCCGGUCCUUCAUUCUGAAUUUCAAAGGCUCCUGUGACAAGUGGACAUGCAGUGACUGUACCUUUGUUUCUGAGGUGAGAACUGCAAAUGCUUAACCGGGAACCUACUCCAGAAUACAUGAUGAUCUCACACAACUUGAACUCUCUCACUGAUUACUUGAUGAUAGUAAAAGAUCUGAUGUUCUGUGUUUUAACAGUUACCAUUUAAGUUAAAAUUGUAGAAAAGUGUUUAACAGCUACCUUCUGUUGGUUGUUGCAGGUGCCUGGAUGGAGGCUCAAAUAGAAGAUGGUGUCAGAUAUAUUGUGUUGUCAAAAUUUUACCAUUAAAGUGUAUUAUA